rnacentral:piRNA from 1 species
UAAUAACUGUGGGACACAGGAGCAGGA